rnacentral:piRNA from 1 species
GCCCUAGUCGGCUGCUGCGAGCUGGAAC